GUUGUUUGCUAUAGAUCAGACUUGAACAGUUUACAGUUGGAAAAAGGACAUAUACCACGCUGAAUUUUGGAAGAGAAAAUUUGCUGUUUCUGACGCUGUUUCACCUUGUCUUCCGGGACCACACUUACACAGAACACGCAAGGAAAAUAGUCGGGCACCAGGCAUGAUUUAGGAUGAAUCUUUUCAAGCGAGGAAUAUCCGAACCUUUAAGUUUCUGUAUGUGGAUUUAUGGCGAAGCAAACCAACAAGUUGAGAUGGGUUUACAUGGAAUUUACUGUGUCUUCCCGGCUAUGUUCGAGGAGGCCAUUUUAAAGUCGACUUGUCGAUUCUAUGACAAAAGGCGGUGCGAGGAUGUGAAGAGCACCCAAUCAGCAAAGCUGGUUGUUUCCAAUGAUCGAAUCCAAGGAUUGGUCAACUCGACAUGGAAAUGUUUAACAUCUUUGGCGAAUUGUAUUCUAGCUAUCAAAUCUGAGCGAAACUAAACUGCAUACACCAAACAGGUCUGUGACAACACGUGGUCAUCCAAAAGGCAUUUUGCCAAUCCCAGCAUUCUAGUUUACAGCAUCACCGUAUCUCAUUUGAAGGAGCUUGUGCUAUGGAGGGGUGCGUCAAUGCG